UACAGAGGUCUCAACCGUUGUUCGGAUUCAUUGGGCGUAAAGGGUGCGUAGGCGGUCGCGCAAGUCGGAUGUGAAAUCUCAGGGCUCAACCCUGAAACUGCAUUCGAUACUGCGUGGCUAGAGUGCUGGAGAGGAGACUGGAAUUUACGGUGUAGCAGUGAAAUGCGUAGAUAUCGUAAGGAAGACCAGUGGCGAAGGCGAGUCUCUGGACAGCAACUGACGCUGAGGCACGAAGUCCAGGGGAGCAAACGGG
rnacentral:rRNA from 1 species